rnacentral:rRNA from 1 species
UACCAGCACCCCGAGUGGUCGGGACGAUUAUUGGGCCUAAAGCAUCCGUAGCCGGCCUUACAAGUCCUCCGUUAAAUCCAGCUGCUUAACAGAUGGGCUGCGGAGGAUACUAUAAGACUAGGAGGCAGGAGAGGCAAGCGGUACUCAGUGGGGUAGGGGUAAAAUCCGUUGAUCCAUUGAAGACCACCAGUGGCGAAGGCGGCUUGCCAGAAUGCGCUCGACGGUGAGGGAUGAAAGCUGGGGGAGCAAACCGG